GAGUGGCGGACGGGUGAGUAACGCGUGGGUAACCUGCCUCAUACAGGGGGAUAACAGUUAGAAAUGACUGCUAAUACCGCAUAAGACCACAGCACCGCAUGGUGUAGGGGUAAAAACUCCGGUGGUAUGAGAUGGACCCGCGUCUGAUUAGGUAGUUGGUGGGGUAACGGCCUACCAAGCCGACGAUCAGUAGCCGACCUGAGAGGGUGACCGGCCACAUUGGGACUGAGACACGGCCCAA
rnacentral:rRNA from 1 species